ACCUGUUCCCAUCCCGAACACAGAAGUUAAGCUCGUAUGCGCCGACGAUAGUUGCCGGGUGACUGGCCGUGAAAAUAGGUAAUGCCAACA
rnacentral:rRNA from 1 species